rnacentral:rRNA from 1 species
UUGAACGCUGGCGGCAUGCUUUACACAUGCAAGUCGAACGGCAGCGGGGGCUUCGGCCUGCCGGCGAGUGGCGAACGGGUGAGUAAUGCAUCGGAACGUACCCAGUCGUGGGGGAUAACUACGCGAAAGCGUGGCUAAUACCGCAUACGCCCUGAGGGGGAAAGCGGGGGACCUUCGGGCCUCGCGCGAUUGGAGCGGCCGAUGGCAGAUUAGGUAGUUGGUGGGGUAAAGGCUCACCAAGCCUGCGAUCUGUAGCUGGUCUGAGAGGACGACCAGCCACACUGGGACUGAGACACGGCCCAGACUCCUACGGGAGGCAGCAGUGGGGAAUUUUGGACAAUGGGCGCAAGCCUGAUCCAGCCAUUCCGCGUGCAGGAUGAAGGCCUUCGGGUUGUAAACUGCUUUUGUACGGAACGAAAAGGCUCUGGUGAAUACCUGGGGCUCAUGACGGUACCGUAAGAAUAAGCACCGGCUAACUACGU